rnacentral:rRNA from 1 species
AGUCGAGCGGAAACGAUGGAAGCUUGCUUCCAGGCGUCGAGUGGCGGACGGGUGAGUAACGCGUAGGAAUCUGCCUGAUAGUGGGGGAUAGCCCGGAGAAAUCCGGAUUAAUACCGCAUAGUCUAUUCGUAGUAAAGGGGGCCUCUAUUUAUAAGCUCUCGCUAUCAGAUGAGCCUGCGUCAGAUUAGCUUGUUGGUGAGGUAAAAGCUCACCAAGGCAACGAUCUGUAGCUGGUCUGAGAGGAUGAUCAGCCACACUGGGACUGAGACACGGCCCAGACUCCUACGGGAGGCAGCAGUGGGGAAUAUUGCACAAUGGGCGCAAGCCUGAUGCAGCCAUGCCGCGUGUGUGAAGAAGGCCUUCGGGUUGUAAAGCACUUUCAGUCAGGAGGAAAGGUUAGUAGUUAAUACCUGCUAGCUGUGACGUUACUGACAGAAGAAGCACCGGCUAACUCCGUGCCAGCAGCCGCGGUAAUACGGAGGGUGCGAGCGUUAAUCGGAAUUACUGGGCGUAAAGCGUACGCAGGCGGUUUGUUAAGCGAGAUGUGAAAGCCCCGGGCUCAACCUGGGAACUGCAUUUCGAACUGGCAAACUAGAGUGUGAUAGAGGGUGGUAGAAUUUCAGGUGUAGCGGUGAAAUGCGUAGAGAUCUGAAGGA